rnacentral:lncRNA from 1 species
GGAAAAGGCCAGGAGAAAAUACAGGAGAGAGGCCCUGUCUACACACCAAGCAGAGAGAUCUCACCAGAACCCAGGCUUGCCCAUGCCUGGAUCUCUGAUUUCCAGCCUCCAGGAUUGGGAGAAAGGAAUGUCUGUUGUCUAAGAUUCUCUUAAUGGGGGAAUCUGUGGGAUUUGGCCAUGGCAGCCUUAAUGGACUCAGACACAAGGGAUGAUAGUCAUAUCCUGUGGCAUCUGAAAUGUGCUCAUGUCAUCACUGGGGAAGAAGAAAGUGAGUGAAGUCCACGUGAGAUUNGAGUCAUAUCCUGUGGCAUCUGUGCUCAUGUCAUCACUGGGGAAGAAGAAAGUGAGUGAAGUCCACGUGAGAUUAUUUAAGCACUCAACAUCAUUAGACGUGGUGGAUGAGAUCAGGAUCAGUGUGGAACCGGCAGGUUUCCCUCACCAAGAUCUCUGUUGAAGGCUAACUUAUCAUGACAUCUUCGGGGCCCAAGGAGAGAAGCUGCAUGUGUUAUGCUCCAACAUUGGGAAACUAUAUAGUUACGAUGAAUGGGUACUUCUCGUGUGGCAUGUGGUGCCUCCACUGUACCCAGGGCUUCAUUAUUUCCAGACUGGGAGUCAUCCAGGAAGGACCCUGUUAUGACAUCCAAGGCGUGUUCCCAAAGUCAACUGUCAGAAGGAGACAGUUCAAGAAGCAGGGAUGUAACAGGAGACCCCAUGUAUUAUGCCAACUUCCCUCAAGGAGCCAUCUUCAGUGGAAGAGUCUGUGAUGCCCAUGCUACACCAGGAGACAGGCUCAUCUUUGCACCCAGUUUUGAUUACAUCGUGCCGAUAGCACCUGCUAAGCAAGAAGCAACUACCUUGAAGGGCUUGGAGGAGAAAUGUUAGCCAAGGGUAGUAGAAGAAUAUCACACAAAAAUUAAGAGAUUGGCCACUCCUAUGAAAUUUUUGUGGGGUCCGCUGGCUGUGAUUUGUCAGAGCAUUUCAUCCAAAUUGGAAGAAGAGGUAUUUUCCAGCCCUCCUUUGGGGUAUUCGAACAUACUGUGUUUUCUAAGUUAUUGGAAGCACUUCAGUGCUUUCAAAGAGACCACAUUAAGGAGAGGAAUUCUAGCAGCUCGGGGGAAGCAGUGUAAGCAGCCAUACUACUUGGCCUUGAGAACCCAAUAGCACCUGUAGAGUUUGCUUAAUCAGAACCUGAUGGGAGCAUCUACACGAGGACAAGAGUCAAGUUCUCAAGGUUACGAACUAAGUCUCCCUCAGCACAGAGCCAGCCUUUCAAUGAAAACCAGCUUCAGGGCUGCUUUUUGAGUCCCAGCAAAUAGAAAGAGAGGCUCAGUUAGAACUUAGUGACUACACAACCCAAGGUCCCCAUCCUGAACUGCCCAUGCCCACCACCAUGGAGUUGGUGUGGGUGUCAGCCUUAGGUCAUAAUUGGGACUGAGCUUUCACAGUUCCUGAAGGUGGAAGCAGGACCUAAAUAUGAAGGAUCCUUGGUCUGACAGUCUGCGAUUCCCAUUCUGUUGCACUGCCUGUUCUUCUGAAACCUAUACCCAGUGGAGUCAUGGGGUGGGUGGGGGGUUCCCAUGACCAUUUGAUGGUGGAGUCAUAAUGGCCACCUGGUUUACUGAUGACUCUACCGGAGGUGUUGGCAGCGGUCGAAGCAAAUAGCUGCAGACUUAUGAGCCAUUGGUGGUUUUCAGGUGCCUAAAAUGGGGAGGGAGACUAAAGGAGGAAACUAAGGUCACCAGUGAGAAAAUUUUCGAGGUGUAUCCAUUGGGGUCCACUUGCUGAGGAAGAUAGUUGGCUACAAUGAUGGAUGAACUACCUUUACUAAUACCUCUCUUUCCAUUUCCCAUGCGACUUUGCAUGGGGUAUUGGUAGGGUUUCU